GUAAAUUGUGUAUGGGAAGAGACCUUUGCUUGAAUUUUUAAAACAACAACAAUAAAAAUAAUAAAAAGAAGAUACCAAGAAGUAUUCUGUAGUUACCAUACCAAAUGAAUAUAAAUUCAAGAAAAUGAAUGGGCCUUCAAUAAAUCGCCUAUGCUAUCAUACAGAGUUUCUAUUAAAAAGGCUUCUUUUUCCACAGUGCAGUCUUUGAUUACAGUUGUAUGAAUUCUUGUUCUGGCUAUUUAUUGGAAUUGUUGGUUUGAUUAUGUAAAAUGCUGUCUUCUUGUUGCUUUUAUACCCUAUUCCUUCUUUAUAAAUAGAUAUUUUAUUGUUGCAAACUUCCAUGAGUUUAGUUCUUUUGUUUUAAAAACUUACACGUUUCUUUUUUUAUAAAGAAAAGAAUGGAUAUAAUCUUCUAUAAAUCAGAUUUGUUGCGUUCAGUGGGUCUUACUCCCAGUUAUCUGCGUACAGGAGGAGAAUUCUAGAUAUAUUUUCAAAUGCAAAAUAAACAGAACUCCAUUUCUUCAUUUCUGAUGCUUGAAAGAAAUAGUUUACAAAUAAGAGUAGAUCCAGUAAAAGUUUCAGAGUUGUAUCUAAUGCUGAACAAGGGGACUCCCCCUUCUUCUCCCUGCACGUCCCUAAAAUCUGCUUUGUGGAGUCCCCAGCUCCCUCAAGCAGAUUUUGAAAGUGUCUUUGAAAGUUAUGUUGUGGAGGCAGAAAUCUGUUGUGUGAGUGGAACAGCAGUGUUUGAUACAACCCUCAGUCUCAACUGCAUGUUUCAGGAGACUACUUCAUCGCAGAUGCCUGUGGUAUUCCUUCUAACAUAUCAAACAUAUUUUUUCAGCAUAUAUAAUAGCAAAGCAACUUAAGGCCAAACAUAUUUUCAUGUGAUAUGGCUAUCUCUUGUGUUUCAGGAACGACUGCCACUAAAGGUAUGUCCCUGGUAUUUCUGGAAUGUGUGAGGGGUCUUUGACAAGGAGAGUGGCUCUUCAGUUGAAUACUGUACCAGAUUCUUAGAAUUUAAAAAUACAUAAAUCUGAAAGCUCAUCUUGCUCAUUCUGGAGCACUUAGAGAGCCAAUUGAACUUUGUUAAGUGAGAAGUGUUGCUCAAAACAAAGGACUCUUGAGAAGUAUUACAGUUGUGUGGACAGACUUUUUGCAGUAUAUUUACCCUACCAAAGUUUAAAAUUGAAGUAGCUCAUUGUGCAGAGCACAUAUUUAUAAAUGGGUUAUAAAUGGGUUCACUAUCCCAGCCAGGGCUCCUUCUGUUGUACUUUUUUCCUCUGUGCUGUUGGGCUUAGGGCAUAUAUGAAUUGCAUAACAAUGAGUGGAGAUACACAUUAUUGAAUAGUUACAGUGGAGUGUUUAAAAGUCAAAGCACUCAGUGUGAGAAUGCAGUGGACUGUGUGGGAGAAUUGGAGGGAAAGUGUUGUGUGCCUCAAAAUAGCGGAGAUGUUACAGGACCCACCCACCUUGCCAUGCCCUUUACACUGAUACCCACCUAAGGUGUACAGCAAGGCUGGGGAAACUUUGGUUCUGUGAGGCAAAUUUGACAGGUGGGCUGCCAAAGCAGACUGUGGCUUUACCAACCAAUCAGCUGAUGAACAGUAGAGCCGAAGCCUGCUUUAACUUGCUAAUUCGCACUUUGAGGCAUCUCCCGCUGCCCCACAUCUGACAUCCUAUAUGUUGUCAGAUGUGGGGGCAGGUGGGCAUGGUUUGGAGGAGACAGCCUCAUGGACCACUUUUGAACCCUGGUGCCUCUACCUCUUUGCUGCAGGCGCCUUUGCAAGUCAUCCUUCACCAAGCCAUAGAAUACGCAUAUGAUAUCAAGCCCCAACAGAUCGAUGCAACGUAAACUACAACUGUGCCACAAUCCAAAUGGAGGAAAUAACCUGCAUGCAGAGCAGAUGCUUGAAGAAAGUGAACCAGGAUGUUGACUACAUGAUCACCUGGUUCACAUGUUAGAGUAAGGCCUAGUCUAAGCAAAUGAUGGUUUCCCAUGAACAGGCAGCCUGCUGCUGCAUUCUGCUCGUAUUGCACCCACCCCACUCCUGCAGUUCCCAAGCCAGGAAGAAAGAAACGAGAAUGCUAGCAUAGCUCGCGGUUGCUUUCUUCCCAAACCAACCAGGAGGAGAGCCUGAGUGUUUGGUACAACAAGGUUUGUUUAGACUGCGGCUUACCAUGACAUGCAAAACGGGCCGUAGUGAUGCCACGCUCAGAAUCAUAUGGCCAAAGUAUUAAGCAUAUCUGUGUGACGGCUCAUCAGUUCAGCUGAUUUCAUGGAGGAUAGGAGUGGGAGCAAUGGGCAUAAUAUAGCCACGUGUUCCAGAAAUGUGUGUAAGCGAACAGUAUAUUUGUGUAUGUGAGCUGGGCUCUAGCGUGCAAACUUAAUUCUUUGAGUUGGAUCCAGAACAAGGUGAGCAUGAGCCUGCUCAUACAGCCGGGCUUUUCCGUCUCCCCCUGCCCUGCACUACAGCUCCCCAUACCCCACAGAGCCACUCUUGAGGUUAAGGGGCCCUCUGGAAUGGUGUGUGAAGGGGCGCAGGGGGCUGCAAUGGGAUGGGAUGGGGUGGGGUGGGACUAGGCCACUAUUGCAGAAGUGGAAGUUCCUUUCCAUACAUGCACAAGUGAGUCAUCUCUGGAUCCAAGUUACUGAAAGGUAUUGUGUUUGAGAUGGCAUUGAGUGAUGUGAAGUGCCUUCCUCUAGCUUUGGGAUAGUUUGAUGGCGAAUGACCGUCAAAACACCAUAAGCUUGCGCAUGUGAAUGUAUGAUUUAAAAAGUACCAUAUAGAUUCUGGUAGAGAAUGCAGGAUUCUUUUUUAACACUUUGAUCAUGAAUGGUCUAUGCCUUAAUUGACAAAGGUGUCAUUGAUGUUUCUAAAAUGCAUUGUAAUAAAUAAGUUUUAACUCUGGUUAAUUUUGCCAUACUUUUUAAUUUUCAGUGUUGCUUGUAUUUAUAAAUCUUUUAACUGAGCACAUUAAAAAAGGUAAUUAAAUUGUCAUUCUAAUUUAUGCCAUUCCUGAAGUCAAUCACCUAAUUAAACUGAAAGAGCAGAGAAGUAGUUUCAUAAGUAUUUAUUAAAUAGCGCAACAUUAAUUAUGCAGAACGUUCAAAUGAAGUAAAAUAGGAAAGGAAUGAAACUGCCAUUACAAAAGGGCUUUCUGUCCCUGCCCUUCUUGGUUUAAUAAGCUGAGCCCUCCUUCUUAAUAACAUGACUU
rnacentral:lncRNA from 1 species